rnacentral:rRNA from 1 species
GAUGAACGCUGGCGGCGUGCCUAAUACAUGCAAGUCGAGCGAACGGACGAGAAGCUUGCUUCUCUGAUGUUAGCGGCUGACGGGUGAGUAACACGUGGAUAACCUACCUAUAAGACUGGGAUAACUUCGGGAAACCGGAGCUAAUACCGGAUAAUAUUUUGAACCGCAUGGUUCAAAAGUGAAAGACGGUCUUGCUGUCACUUAUAGAUGGAUCCGCGCUGCAUUAGCUAGUUGGUAAGGUAACAGCUUACCAAGGCAACUAUGCAUAGCCGACCUGAGGGGGUGAUCGGCCACAUGGGAACUGAGACACGGUCCAGACUCCUACGGGAGGCAGCAGUAGGGAAUCUUCCGCAAUGGGGGAAAGCCUGACGGAGGAACGCCGCGGGAGUGAUGAAGGUCUUCGGAUCGUAAAACUCUGUUAGUAGGGAAGAACAAAUGUGUAAGUAACUGUGCACAUCUUGACGGUACCUAAUCAGAAAGCCACGGCUAACUACGUG